UACGGGGGGGGCAAGCGUUGCUCGGAAUUACUGGGCGUAAAGGGCGCGUAGGCGGCCUGCUAAGUCGGACGUGAAAUCCCUCGGCUCAACCGAGGAACUGCGUCCGAUACUGGUGGGCUUGAAUCCGGGAGAGGGAUGUGGAAUUCCAGGUGUAGCGGUGAAAUGCGUAGAUAUCUGGAGGAACACCGGUGGCGAAGGCGGCAUCCUGGACCGGUAUUGACGCUGAGGCGCGAAAGCUAGGGGAGCAAACGGG
rnacentral:rRNA from 1 species